UUAAGCGACUAAGCGUACACGGUGGAUGCCCUGGCAGUCAGAGGCGAUGAAGGACGUGCUAAUCUGCGAUAAGCGUCGGUAAGGUGAUAUGAACCGUUAUAACCGGCGAUUUCCGAAUGGGGAAACCCAGUGUGAUUCGUCACACUAUCAUUAACUGAAUCCAUAGGUUAAUGAGGCGAACCGGGGGAACUGAAACAUCUAAGUACCCCGAGGAAAAGAAAUCAACCGAGAUUCCCCCAGUAGCGGCGAGCGAACGGGGAGCAGCCCAGAGCCUGAAUCAGUGUGUGUGUUAGUGGAAGCGUCUGGAAAGGCGCGCGAUACAGGGUGACAGCCCCGUACACAAAAAUGCACAUGCUGUGAGCUCGAUGAGUAGGGCGGGACACGUGGUAUCCUGUCUGAAUAUGGGGGGACCAUCCUCCAAGGCUAAAUACUCCUGACUGACCGAUAGUGAACCAGUACCGUGAGGGAAAGGCGAAAAGAACCCCGGCGAGGGGAGUGAAAAAGAACCUGAAACCGUGUACGUACAAGCAGUGGGAGCACAGAGCAAUCUGUGUGACUGCGUACCUUUUGUAUAAUGGGUCAGCGACUUAUAUUCUGUAGCAAGGUUAACCGAAUAGGGGAGCCGAAGGGAAACCGAGUCUUAACUGGGCGUUAAGUUGCAGGGUAUAGACCCGAAACCCGGUGAUCUAGCCAUGGGCAGGUUGAAGGUUGGGUAACACUAACUGGAGGACCGAACCGACUAAUGUUGAAAAAUUAGCGGAUGACUUGUGGCUGGGGGUGAAAGGCCAAUCAAACCGGGAGAUAGCUGGUUCUCCCCGAAAGCUAUUUAGGUAGCGCCUCGUGAAUUCAUCUCCGGGGGUAGAGCACUGUUUCGGCAAGGGGGUCAUCCCGACUUACCAACCCGAUGCAAACUGCGAAUACCGGAGAAUGUUAUCACGGGAGACACACGGCGGGUGCUAACGUCCGUCGUGAAGAGGGAAACAACCCAGACCGCCAGCUAAGGUCCCAAAGUCAUGGUUAAGUGGGAAACGAUGUGGGAAGGCCCAGACAGCCAGGAUGUUGGCUUAGAAGCAGCCAUCAUUUAAAGAAAGCGUAAUAGCUCACUGGUCGAGUCGGCCUGCGCGGAAGAUGUAACGGGGCUAAACCAUGCACCGAAGCUGCGGCAGCGACGCUUAUGCGUUGUUGGGUAGGGGAGCGUUCUGUAAGCCUGCGAAGGUGUGCUGUGAGGCAUGCUGGAGGUAUCAGAAGUGCGAAUGCUGACAUAAGUAACGAUAAAGCGGGUGAAAAGCCCGCUCGCCGGAAGACCAAGGGUUCCUGUCCAACGUUAAUCGGGGCAGGGUGAGUCGACCCCUAAGGCGAGGCCGAAAGGCGUAGUCGAUGGGAAACAGGUUAAUAUUCCUGUACUUGGUGUUACUGCGAAGGGGGGACGGAGAAGGCUAUGUUGGCCGGGCGACGGUUGUCCCGGUUUAAGCGUGUAGGCUGGUUUUCCAGGCAAAUCCGGAAAAUCAAGGCUGAGGCGUGAUGACGAGGCACUACGGUGCUGAAGCAACAAAUGCCCUGCUUCCAGGAAAAGCCUCUAAGCAUCAGGUAACAUCAAAUCGUACCCCAAACCGACACAGGUGGUCAGGUAGAGAAUACCAAGGCGCUUGAGAGAACUCGGGUGAAGGAACUAGGCAAAAUGGUGCCGUAACUUCGGGAGAAGGCACGCUGAUAUGUAGGUGAAGUCCCUCGCGGAUGGAGCUGAAAUCAGUCGAAGAUACCAGCUGGCUGCAACUGUUUAUUAAAAACACAGCACUGUGCAAACACGAAAGUGGACGUAUACGGUGUGACGCCUGCCCGGUGCCGGAAGGUUAAUUGAUGGGGUUAGCGCAAGCGAAGCUCUUGAUCGAAGCCCCGGUAAACGGCGGCCGUAACUAUAACGGUCCUAAGGUAGCGAAAUUCCUUGUCGGGUAAGUUCCGACCUGCACGAAUGGCGUAAUGAUGGCCAGGCUGUCUCCACCCGAGACUCAGUGAAAUUGAACUCGCUGUGAAGAUGCAGUGUACCCGCGGCAAGACGGAAAGACCCCGUGAACCUUUACUAUAGCUUGACACUGAACAUUGAGCCUUGAUGUGUAGGAUAGGUGGGAGGCUUUGAAGUGUGGACGCCAGUCUGCAUGGAGCCGACCUUGAAAUACCACCCUUUAAUGUUUGAUGUUCUAACGUUGACCCGUGAUCCGGGUUGCGGACAGUGUCUGGUGGGUAGUUUGACUGGGGCGGUCUCCUCCUAAAGAGUAACGGAGGAGCACGAAGGUUGGCUAAUCCUGGUCGGACAUCAGGAGGUUAGUGCAAUGGCAUAAGCCAGCUUGACUGCGAGCGUGACGGCGCGAGCAGGUGCGAAAGCAGGUCAUAGUGAUCCGGUGGUUCUGAAUGGAAGGGCCAUCGCUCAACGGAUAAAAGGUACUCCGGGGAUAACAGGCUGAUACCGCCCAAGAGUUCAUAUCGACGGCGGUGUUUGGCACCUCGAUGUCGGCUCAUCACAUCCUGGGGCUGAAGUAGGUCCCAAGGGUAUGGCUGUUCGCCAUUUAAAGUGGUACGCGAGCUGGGUUUAGAACGUCGUGAGACAGUUCGGUCCCUAUCUGCCGUGGGCGCUGGAGAACUGAGGGGGGCUGCUCCUAGUACGAGAGGACCGGAGUGGACGCAUCACUGGUGUUCGGGUUGUCAUGCCAAUGGCACUGCCCGGUAGCUAAAUGCGGAAGAGAUAAGUGCUGAAAGCAUCUAAGCACGAAACUUGCCCCGAGAUGAGUUCUCCCUGACUCCUUGAGAGUCCUGAAGGAACGUUGAAGACGACGACGUUGAUAGGCCGGGUGUGUAAGCGCAGCGAUGCGUUGAGCUAACCGGUACUAAUGAACCGUGAGGCUUAACCU
rnacentral:rRNA from 1 species